UGCCAGACAAAAAUAGGAAAUUACUUAGA
rnacentral:piRNA from 1 species